CAGUAGCCACGGGAAUACAGAGGGUGCAAGCGUUAAUCGGAAUUACUGGGCGUAAAGCGCGCGUAGGUGGUUUGUUAAGUUGGAUGUGAAAGCCCCGGGCUCAACCUGGGAACUGCAUCCAAAACUGGCAAGCUAGAGUACGGUAGAGGGUGGUGGAAUUUCCUGUGUAGCGGUGAAAUGCGUAGAUAUAGGAAGGAACACCAGUGGCGAAGGCGACCACCUGGACUGAUACUGACACUGAGGUGCGAAAGCGUGGGGAGCAAACAGGAUUAGAUACCCCUGUAGUCCCUGUCUCUUAUAC
rnacentral:rRNA from 1 species